UACGUAGGUGGCAAGCGUUGUCCGGAUUUACUGGGUGUAAAGGGCGUGCAGCCGGGCUGACAAGUCAGAUGUGAAAUCCCGCGGCUCAACCGCGGAACUGCAUUUGAAACUGUCAGUCUUGAGUACCGGAGAGGUCAUCGGAAUUCCUUGUGUAGCGGUGAAAUGCGUAGAUAUAAGGAAGAACUCCGAUCGCGAAGGCAAGUGUCCGGGGUGCAACUGACGCUGAGGCUCGAAAGUGCGGGUAUCAAACAGG
rnacentral:rRNA from 1 species